CGAGCGGACAGAAGGGAGCUUGCUCCCGGAUGUUAGCGGCGGACGGGUGAGUAACACGUGGGUAACCUGCCUGUAAGACUGGGAUAACUCCGGGAAACCGGAGCUAAUACCGGAUAGUUCCUUGAACCGCAUGGUUCAAGGAUGAAAGACGGUUUCGGCUGUCACUUACAGAUGGACCCGCGGCGCAUUAGCUAGUUGGUGAGGUAACGGCUCACCAAGGCGACGAUGCGUAGCCGACCUGAGAGGGUGAUCGGCCACACUGGGACUGAGACACGGCCCAGACUCCUACGGGAGGCAGCAGUAGGGAAUCUUCCGCAAUGGACGAAAGUCUGACGGAGCAACGCCGCGUGAGUGAUGAAGGUUUUCGGAUCGUAAAGCUCUGUUGUUAGGGAAGAACAAGUGCAAGAGUAACUGCUUGCACCUUGACGGUACCUAACCAGAAAGCCACGGCUAACUACGUGCCAGCAGCCGCGGUAAUACGUAGGUGGCAAGCGUUGUCCGGAAUUAUUGGGCGUAAAGGGCUCGCAGGCGGUUUCUUAAGUCUGAUGUGAAAGCCCCCGGCUCAACCGGGGAGGGUCAUUGGAAACUGGGAAACUUGAGUGCAGAAGAGGAGAGUGGAAUUCCACGUGUAGCGGUGAAAUGCGUAGAGAUGUGGAGGAACACCAGUGGCGAAGGCGACUCUCUGGUCUGUAACUGACGCUGAGGAGCGAAAGCGUGGGGAGCGAACAGGA
rnacentral:rRNA from 1 species